rnacentral:lncRNA from 1 species
UUCAAAAGUCCGUACUCAAUCAAAUGAAAGGGAGGAGUGUUUGCCACAGAAAAAGCUAGCUAAAACUCAAGCAGUACUGUGCUUUAAUUUAAUUACCUGGCAGAUGAAAAUCUUGAAGGAAAGAAGCAAGCUCGACAGCUUCCAGCACCUACAGGAUACAAAUAACGUGUGAUUCAAGAAUAUGAAUUGAAGCUAAUUUAUAGAACCUCUACUUUGUGAAGAUGGCCCUGGGUACCUAACCUUUGUAUGUAGGAAUAGGAAUUGGAAUAUUAGGUAAACGACCACUGUUGUGCCACUCGAACUUCUUUUGAGCCCUUUUUUCCCCACUCC